UUACAGCCAUAUCACGUUGAAAUACCAGGUCUCGUACGAUCACUGAAGUUAAGCAACGUCGAGCCAGGUCAGUACCUAGAUGGGUGACCGCUUUGAAUAACAGUUGCUGUAA